rnacentral:rRNA from 1 species
AUUGAACGCUGGCGGCAUGCCUAACACAUGCAAGUCGAACGGAGAUGCCAAGCGGGUAACUGCGAAGCAUCUUAGUGGCGGACGGGUGAGUAACGCGUGGGCAACCUGCCUUUCACAGGGGGAUAACACAGGGAAACCUGUGCUAAUACCGCAUAACAUCAAUACAGGGCAUCCUGUAAUGAUCAAAGGAGUGAAAUCCGGUGAAAGAUGGGCCCGCGUCCGAUUAGCUAGUUGGUAGGGUAACGGCCUACCAAGGCCACGAUCGGUAGCUGGUCUGAGAGGAUGAUCAGCCACACUGGGACUGAGACACGGCCCAGACUCCUACGGGAGGCAGCAGUGGGGAAUCUUGCGCAAUGGGCGAAAGCCUGACGCAGCCAUGCCGCGUGAAUGAUGAAGGUCUUAGGAUUGUAAAAUUCUUUCACCGGGGACGAUAAUGACGGUACCCGGAGAAGAAGCCCCGGCUAACUUCGUG